GUGUCAGCCGCCGCGGUAAUACGUAGGUGGCAAGCGUUGUCCGGAAUUAUUGGGCGUAAAGCGCGCGCAGGCGGUCUCUUAAGUCUGAUGUGAAAGCCCCCGGCUCAACCGGGGAGGGUCAUUGGAAACUGGGAGACUUGAGUGCAGAAGAGAAGAGCGGAAUUCCACGUGUAGCGGUGAAAUGCGUAGAGAUGUGGAGGAACACCAGUGGCGAAGGCGGCUCUUUGGUCUGUAACUGACGCUGAGGCGCGAAAGCGUGGGGAGCAAACAGGAUUAGAUACCCUGGUAGUCCACGCCGUAAACGAUGAGUGCUAAGUGUUAGAGGGUUUCCGCCCUUUAGUGCUGCAGCUAACGCAUUAAGCACUCCGCCUGGGGAGUACGGCCGCAAGGCUGAAACUCAAAGGAAUUGACGGGG
rnacentral:rRNA from 1 species